rnacentral:rRNA from 1 species
GAGGAAGGUGGGGAUGACGUCAGAUCAUCAUGCCCCUUACGUCCAGGGCUUCACGCAUGCUACAAUGGCCGGUACAACGGGAUGCGACCUCGUGAGGGGGAGCGGAUCCCUUAAAACCGGUCUCAGUUCGGAUUGGAGUCUGCAACCCGACUCCAUGAAGGCGGAGUCGCUAGUAAUCGCGGAUCACCAACGCCGCGGUGAAUGCGUUCCCGGGCCUUGUACACACCGCCCGUCAAGUCAUGAAAGUGGGUAGCACCCGAAGCCGGUGGCCCAACCUUUUGGGGGGAGCCGUCUAAGGUGAGACUCGUGAUUGGGACUAAGUCGUAACAAGGUA